AGACCAGUCCAAACCAGUUCAGACCAGUUCAAACCGGAGCCAGCUGAAAUGUGGGAUUAUAAAUGGAUCCCAAAAAUCCCCAAAAUCCCGGAGCAAUUCCCUUCUUUUCUUGUGUGAUUGGAGUAAAAUGGGAGCUGAUCCCAGUUCAGACCAGUCCAAACCAGUUCAGACCAGUUCAGACCAGUUCAGACCAGUUCAAACCAGUCCAAACCAGUCCAAACCAGUUCAAACCGGUUCAGACCAGUUCAAGUUCCUGAGAUAAUAAAUGGGAAAAGCCCAAUCCCCA
rnacentral:lncRNA from 1 species